rnacentral:tRNA from 1 species
GGGGAUUUAGCUCAGUGGCAUAAGCGCCUGCCUUGUAAGCAGGCAGUCGUGAGUUAUCCCUG